CAGAGCUCUUGGCUCCUCCAAAACGCGGAAGUGAAUGAAGUGUUUUGACACGAGGCUGCUCCCGAACUGCGAACAUCUGCAGGACAUCAUGACUUUAUAUUCCCUUUUUUCUAAGUUUCUAACUUAGCUUCUCCUGCCGCUGAGAUGAGCAGUCCUCAGAGGUGUCCAGGAGAACUGGAGGAGGAAUGUAAUGAAGCAAAGCGGGUGUGUUUCAGUCUUCAGCACGAGGACAUCACUGUAGAGCCUCAAGCUGUCACUCUGGAGUGUCGUCCUGUCAUUAUGGAGUCCAGAGACGACUCUAAUGAGGUGAAACACAACGCUGUAGGAGCUUCAGCUGCCACUCUGGGGUCUAUAGGUGUCACUAAGAAGGCUCUUGUUGACAAUGUGGAGUUUAAAGGUACCACGAUGGAGUCCGCUGCUGUUUUUGACACUUUGGAGGAGAACAGUGCCACUAUGGAGUCUUCUGUUGAUAAGCUGCAGUCUACAGAUGAGACUUUGGGAUGGAAUAUGGUUUUACAGUUGAACACUGACAGUGUGGCUUUGGGGUCUAACACAACUUUACAGUCUAAUAGUGCCACUUUGAGGAAUGAUAAUGCUCCCUUAGAGUCUAAUGAUGCCACUUUGGGGUCUAACGGUGUGGCUUUAGGGCCUAACACAACUUUACAGUCUAACUGUACCAAUUUGGGGUAUGAUAAUGCGCCCUUGGAGUCUAAUGAUGCCACUUUGGGGUCAAGCACUGUGGCUUUGGGGUCUUACACAACUUUACAGUCUAACUGUACCACUUUGAGGAAUGAUAAUGUGCCCUUGGAGUCUAAUGAUGCCACUUUGGGGACUAACAGUGUGGCUUUGAGGUUUAACAAUGCCACUGUGGAGUCUGGCAGUGCUGCUGUGAACUCCACUGGUGCCUGUGAGACAGUUGAAGGCAGCAACAUUCAAGUGUCUGUGAUCAUACCGGUCUAUAAUGCUGCUAACUGGCUGGAUGAAUGCCUUCAGGCCGUUUCAGAUCAGGACUUUCAGGGUACUUUGGAGAUCUCAGUGUUUGACGACGGCAGUAUGGAUAACUCCAGAGAGAUCGCUGAGAGCUGGAGAGAGAGGCUAAGGAUGAGAGGCGUUACCAUGGCGAUAUCUGGCCAUAACACAGACAGACCAAGAGGAGUUGGAUUUGCCAAAAACAAAGCUGUGGCUCAAAGCUCUGGACAAUACCUUUGCUUCCAGGAUGCAGAUGAUGUCAUGAUGCCCCAGAGAGUGAGACUGCAGUAUGAAGCUGCUGUCCUGAAUCCCAAUACUAUUGUCGGUUGUCAGGUGAGGCGUGUUCCAGAAGGUUCCACGGAGCGCUACACCAGGUGGAUCAACACACUCACUCCAGAGCAACUACUUACACAGGACAGUGUCACAUUUCAGGUCUACACCUCUCAUGGACCGACCGUCGUCAUGCCCACAUGGUUCUGCUCACGCUGUUGGUUCCAGAAAGUCGGACCUUUUGAUGAAGGAGGAAAGGGGGUUCCAGAGGAUUUGCUGUGGUUCUACCAGAGCCUUCGGCGGGGAGGGGGUGUGAUCCGAGUGGACGAGUGUCUGCUGAUUUAUCGCUACCACGAGCAAGCAGCAACACACUCUGUACUGGAGGAAACCAUCUGGAGCCUCCGAGUGGACUUCUUGCAGGAGCGAGUGCUCAGACAGUGGGGUUCCUUCACCAUCUGGAACGCUGGGAAACAGGGCCGGAAACUUUACCGCAGCCUGACGUCCACCAAUCAGAAGAAGGUGAAAGCAUUCUGCGAUGUAGAUGAGAACAAAAUAAAAAAGGGCUUCUACACAUAUGAGGAAUCAAAGGAACGUCCCAAACCUCGAAUCCCUGUGCUGCACUACAGAGACUCAUCACCUCCAUUUAUAGUGUGUGUAAAACUGGAUAUGACCGGUGGUGUUUUAGAGGAGAUACUACUCUCUCUCUCUUUAACAGAGGGAGUGGAUUAUUAUCACUUCAACUGACCAGUGGACAGAAAGAAGGUGUGUGGGAGUGUUACAGAGUCAGAAAGUCAGGAGUGUGGCCUUCGUGGGCAGGACACAGACAUAGGAAUGUGUGUGUUGUGUUAAGACAUUAUCUGAGCAUUUCACUAAAUUGUGUCAUGUGGUGGAAUGUGGCGACUCGGUUACGUUGCUGCUCCUUGCGCCAUUUUCUCACGGGAAAAACGCAGCGCCACCUGCUCCUGAGCUCUCCAACACACACACACACACACUCUCUCUCUCUCUCCAAGAGACAGAGUGCUCAGGCCAGUGUGUGUCGGUUAUCAAAUUAAAUCAUGGACACGGCCCAAAUCCUCUCUCCAGUAAACUGUGAUGGAGUUUCGAGUCUUGACUGCAUUGCUGCUCAAGUCUUCUCCAGUUUCACACACAAACACAAAUAUAUUUUUUUACUUACAUUUUUAACUUGAUUACAUUUGCUUGUGUCUGUAAGUUAUUGGUUAAUUCAUUUAAAGUUCGAUCUUUUAUAAGAGCCAAUAAAUAUACAGUAUAAACUUACUCAAAUUCAUUAUUAUGUAAAUAUUUGUUUACUUUGGAAUAUAGUAAUACAUCGAUCAUAAGAUUAUGAUCAGGUGAAGUGAAGAAGACUGAGUAUCUCCUCAUCAUGGCACCUGUUAGUGGGUGGGAUAUAUUAGGCAGCAAGUCAACAUUUUGUCCUCAAAGUUGAUGUUAGAAGCAGGAAAAAUGGACAAGCGUAAGGAUUUGAGCGAGUUUGACGAAGGACCAAAUUGUGAUGGCUAGACCACUGGAUCAGAACAUCUCCAAAACUGCAGCUCUUGUGGGGUGUUCCCGGUCUGCAGUGGUCAGUAUCUAUCAAAAGUGGACCGAGGAAGGAACAUUGGUGAACUGGAGAUAGGGUCAUGGGCGGUCAAGCCUCAUUGAUGCAUGUGGAGAGUGAAGGCUGGCCCGUGUGAUCCGAUCCAACAGACGAGCUACUGUUGAUCAAACUGCUGAAGAAGUUAAUGCUGGUUCUGAUAGAAAGGGGUCAGAAUACACAGUGCAGGACGGGUCAGGGCUGUUUCGUCAGCACCAACACAAUAUUAGGCAGGUUAUAAUGUUAUGCCUGAUUGGUGUAAAUACUGUAUUUAUUGUUUUAUAUAUAUUUAUAAAAUGAAGCAGAUAUUUGUUAUGUUCAUUGCACUGUUUAUAUUUAUGUAUUUAUCUCGGUACUUAUUUCAUGUAUGCUUGUUUUUUAAGUAAUGAAUUAAUUUAUUCAUCUCUCUUCAGCAUAAAGCUUGAUGCUGUUUUUCUAACAGCCAGUACAUAUAAAUAUUAUUUCAAAUAAUAAUUUAUUUUAGCUAAGUAGUUCAAUUUAUUUCAAUUAAUUGAUAGAGUUUUAUAAAAAUCUAUCUGGGGUUAUUGUUUCACACACACACUAUAAGCACUAUAUGUGCAACCCCCUGACCAUCACACCCUCACUGAACAUCUCAGUCUAGAUUUAUUCCCUGCUCUGUGAUCUCUUCUCUUCUCUUCUCUUCUCUUCUCUUCUCUUCUCUUCUCUUCUCUUCUCUUCUCUUCUCUUCUCUUCUCUUCUCUUCUCUUCUGGAAAGGUUUCCACUAGAUGUUGGAUUGUGUCUGUGGGGAUUAAUGAUCAUUUAGCUACAGGAGCAUUAGUGAGAUCAGACUCAGAGAGAGAGAGAGAAAAUAAAGAAGUGGACUUUCCACUAGAUGUUGGAUUGUGUCUGUGGAGAUUAGUGGGAGUUCAUUUAGCUACAAGAGCAUUAGUGAGAUCAGACUCUGAUGUUGAGGAGCAUUAGUGAGAUCAGACUGAUGUUGAGGAGCAUUAGUGAGAUCAGACUCUGAUGUUGAGGAGCAUUAGUGAGAUCAGACUCUGAUGUUGAGGAGCAUUAGUGAGAUCAGACUCUGAUGUUGAGGAGCAUUAGUGAGAUCAGACUCUGAUGUUGAGGAGCAUUAGUGAGAUCAGACUGAUGUUGAGGAGCAUUAGUGAGAUCAGACUCUGAUGUUGAGUAGCAUUAGUGAGAUCAGACUCUGAUGUUGAGGAGCAUUAGUGAGAUCAGACUCUGAUGUUGAGGAGCAUUAGUGAGAUCAGACUCUGAUGUUGAGGAGCAUUAGUGAGAUCAGACUCUGAUGUUGAGGAGCAUUAGUGAGAUCAGACUCUGAUGUUGAGGAGCAUUAGUGAGAUCAGACUCUGAUGUUGAGGAGCAUUAGUGAGAUCAGACUCUGAUGUUGAGGAGCAUUAGUGAGAUCAGACUGAUGUUGAGGAGCAUUAGUGAGAUCAGACUCUGAUGUUGAGGAGCAUUAGUGAGAUCAGACUCUGAUGUUGAGGAGCAUUAGUGAGAUCAGACUGAUGUUGAGGAGCAUUAGUGAGAUCAGACUGAUGUUGAGGAGCAUUAGUGAGAUCAGACUCUGAUGUUGAGGAGCAUUAGUGAGAUCAGACUCUGAUGUUGAGGAGCAUUAGUGAGAUCAGACUCUGAUGUUGAGGAGCAUUAGUGAGAUCAGACUGAUGUUGAGGAGCAUUAGUGAGAUCAGACUCUGAUGUUGAGGAGCAUUAGUGAGAUCAGACUCUGAUGUUGAGGAGCAUUAGUGAGAUCAGACUGAUGUUGAGGAGCAUUAGUGAGAUCAGACUGAUGUUGAGGAGCAUUAGUGAGAUCAGACUCUGAUGUUGAGGAGCAUUAGUGAGAUCAGACUCUGAUGUUGAGGAGCAUUAGUGAGGUCAGACUCUGAUGUUGAGGAGCAUUAGUGAGAUCAGACUGAUGUUGGGAUGUUGAAGAGACUCCAGUUCCAGUUCAUAUCCCAGUGGAUUUGAGGUCAGAGUCAGGGCUCUGUGCAGGACACUCCAAAUUUUCCACCUUCUCCAACCUUCACCUCCACACCAUGGAGAUCUUCAUGGAGCUGCUUAGUGUCAUGCUGGAACAGAGUCUGAGUCUCUAAGUUCCAGUGAAGAAGAACUGUAAAGUUACACACAGAGACGUCCAGUACAACUGUGUGACUGAAAAACCAGAUGAGUGUGAGGGUCAGGGGGUGUGCAAACUUACCCAAUUUAAUAUCAGUUGAUUGUGUCAUGUUUUCUAUCUAUCUAUCUAUCUGUCUAUCUAUCUAUCUAUCUAUCUAUCUAUCUAUCUAUCUAUCUAUCUAGUUUUUUUUCUAGGUGUUUCUAUUAAUAAGGAAUUUUAUUAAGUUUUAUUCACGUUAUAAUUUUGUAGCCUGUAUUUUGAAGGAGAUCAUGGAGUGUGUUAUGUUUAACUCAGGUUAAAUCUGAUACGUCU